rnacentral:lncRNA from 1 species
CACAACUCUGUUUCCGAUGCAAGGAUAGCCAGCCUUUGUGUACAUCCCUUAAAGGGAAACUUCACCACUAGAGACUUUUUGGGGUGUUUUUCCAGAGUGAUGAGAGGGUGAUUCAGACAAUUAUGUCAUUGGUUGAUUGAGCCUGCUGUCUGAUCAAAAAAUUUAUGGAGUUACGUUUCUAAGCAAUUAUUGUGGCCUUUGUGUUUCGCCGACUGCACGAUCACGCGAGUAGAUAUGGUUGUCCUUGUUCAAUAGAGCCAUUGGACUUUUCUCAACGAUGUUCCUAUCUGCCAGGACAUUGCAGGAUAUCAAGAUUGACUCAUUUUACCUGGUUUUGUAUAGACUAUAGCCUGACGGGAGCCAUACUUCCUUGUUCCCACCCUCGAAGACAAGAAAUAUAAUUGAUGACUCAAGACAAGAUGUGAAAGGUCCCAUAACAGCAAACUCCCAUUGUAUCAAAGUGACUCCGAACACCUCACUGCACCACCCAAACACACCAUAUGCAAGUAUUCCCUUUGUAGAACUGUAGUAUUUAUUAAAAGCGUUAGUAUUAGUAUUUCUUCUACUGUAUAUACUGUAUUCCUGCAUACUGCUGUGUAAAAUUACCACGGUCCCCAGAACAAAUAAACUUUGUCCUGAAUACAAGACAUGUCUACUUAUUUGCUACAUUAACAGACUAAUCUCAUCUGAGAUUUCCACCUUCGCCGUCCAGACCGGCCCGCUCUUCGCCCUCGGGGCCGGUGUCGUCCUGCGGCUGGGGCCGCACGUCGGAGGGGGGAGGUCAUCACUUCCCUGAUUACUCCCCGUUCAUCUAGCACUCCGAGGAGGAGCUCCCUGCGUCUCCGUUACAAUUCUAUAUUAUACUACAACAUCAGUCUAACAGAAUAUGGAUGUUGUGUUGGUUGAAUGUUCCAGGCAAGUUCCAGAAUGUUCUUCAGCUGGUGAACCUCUCCUUGUUUUGGGUAAUGGCAGCUGGUUUAGCAAGCUUUGGUGCUGUGGCGAUGUUGGCAGUGAUGUUAGGUUUGGGGGGGAUGUGACUCUGGCUCCUUGUAGACAACAGUCUGGUCCUUUCUGCACUCCACAGCCAAGUAGAAAAGCCUCUCUUUCUUCACCACCCGCUGCUUCAACCUCAUGCAGAAGAUUUGUUUGUUCUAUAAUUCUCCUGGAAAGACAUGAAGACUGACCAUGAGGAUGUGUAAAACAUGAAGACCGAUCAUGAGGAUGUGUAACCAUACAAUAAAACAUGUUAAUCAUUAAACAAAAAAGGCUACAGUAGACUGGUAUGUGUUUAAUUACACUCAAUAGUCAAUAAUGGGGCAUUGAGAUGGACUGUUAACAAAGGUGUGAAAAGUUUGAGUGGGGCUUGAC